UCGCUUGCGAUGAUUAGAAAUGAAAUUCUUUGUUCUGAAUACUAUAGCCAUCGCAUGACAGACUUGUUUUCACCCAUAGAAUAUGAGCCCC